GUUCUCGUAGCUCAGCUGGAUAGAGCGUCAGGUUGCGGACCUGAAGGUCACAUGUUCGAAUCAUGUCGAGGACA
rnacentral:tRNA from 1 species